UUAUAAACAAAUUUCUACUUUUUAGAUUCAUUCAAUAAAUGAUGCAUGUGGUCUAGAUUGUAGAUCACAUGCAUCAUUUAUUGAAUGAACCUAAAAAGUCAAAAUUUGCUUAUAA
rfam:Medicago truncatula strain A17 chromosome 4, whole genome shotgun sequence.